AGAUGUAAAUUAAAAUGAUAUGUUAGAAUAUAAUGGUGAGUGUGUGUGUGUCAAUAAUAAACAAACAGGCAAGGCAGGGUUUGAGAAAAGUGCAACUGAAUCCACCAACCCUAUAAAGAAAAAAAAAGACAACUCCCUAAUUAAACAUGCACACCCCUUUUCUAAACAAACUCCUCUCCUUCUUCCUCUUCCUCUCUUCUUCUUCUCAUUGUCUGACCCUACUUAAGAUAACAUACUUCGAUCCAUCGUCGUUGUCGUCUUUACCUCUCGGGUUGUAAAAACUAAUCUCUCUCGACGUGCACCGAUAGAAGUAUACAUAUAUUUAUGAGAAGUGAAGGUAGUUGUUGCUCGUUUUCUUACUUCAAGGUCUUGCUUGGAGCUGUGGCUGUUGGGAUGUUUGUAUGGCUUUUAAUCGUUGGCAUGCCCAACAGCGGCGAACAGUUGGUAGCAAAAACAACAAGCUCGCAGGCAGCUAGGUCUGAGUUUGUGGGAAGCCAUAUGAAGCCAGCUAAGGAGCUUAACUUCAUGAGCAAAGUUAAGGUCCCUAAAGGACCGGACCCAAUUCAUAACAGGCGAACUGGAGUAAAAGGACGGCCUCCCGCCUUAACUUAGGCUUAGGCUUCCUCCAGUUUGAGAGGAACUCAUGCCUCUUGGUUCUUCUCAACGUUACCCUUUACUGUUAAUCAACUUCAAACAACAUGCCUCUUAUUUGUAUUCUAAUUUCAAUAAUCCAAAAUAAAAAACGUCUGGAUUGUACA